rnacentral:rRNA from 1 species
GGACGAACGCUGGCGGCAUGACCUAACACAUGCAAGUCGAACGGGGGUAGCAAUACCCUAGUGGCGAACGGGUGAGUAACACAUAAGCAAUCUGCCCUUCACAGGGGGAUAACAGCGGGAAACUGCUGCUAAUACCGCAUAAGACCACGGUACCGCAUGGUACAGGGGUAAAAACGAAUCAGUGGUGAAGGAUGAGCUUAUGUCCCAUUAGCUAGUUGGUGAGAUAACAGCCCACCAAGGCGACGAUGGGUAGCCGACCUGAGAGGGUGAUCGGCCACACUGGAACUGAGACACGGUCCAGACUCCUACGGGAGGCAGCAGUGGGGAAUAUUGGGCAAUGGAAGGAAACCCUUACCCAGCAAUGCCGCGUGAGUGAAGAAGGUCUUCGGAUUGUAAAGCUCUUUGAUUGGGGACGAAGAAAGUGACGGUACCCAAAGAACAAGCCCCGGCUAACUACGUGCCAGCCGCUGC